rnacentral:rRNA from 1 species
CCUACGGGUGGCAGCAGUCGAGAAUCAUUCACAAUGGGGGAAACCCUGAUGGAGCGACGCCGCGUGGGGGAAUGAAGGUCUUCGGAUUGUAAACCCCUUUCAUGUGGGAGCAAAUUAAAAAGAUAGUACCACAAGAGGAAGAGACGGCUAACUCUGUGCCAGCAGCCGCGGUAAUACAGAGGUCUCAAGCGUUGUUCGGAAUCACUGGGCGUAAAGCGUGCGUAGGCUGUUUCGUAAGUAGUGUGUGAACGGCGCGGGCCCAACCCGCGGACGGCCCAUGAUACUGCGAGACUAGAGUAAUGGAGGGGGAACCGGAAUGCUCGGUGUAGCGGUGAAAUGCGUAGAUAUCGAGAGGAACACUCGUGGCGAAGGCGGGUUCCUGGACAUUAACUGACGCUGAGGCACGAAGGCCAGGGGAGCGAAAGGGAUUAGAUACCCGGGUAGUC